rnacentral:lncRNA from 1 species
AGUGCCUGACCCGUGCUCGUCCUGGCUGUGAUAGUACAGUAGGAGGCAGUGAUAGGAAGCAGAAUCGGAGCGUGAGGGAAAACGCAGGGUCAGGUCGAUGACUGAAAGCUCAGUUACUAGCGCGGGAGAGAUGGAGGGAAGCGGAGGCGGCCAUGAGAAAAAGAGGAAUAUAAAAAAAGGGAAGGUGGCGGCGACGGGCACCUCAAACCUGUAACUGGCCGGUAGCCGAAACCAGCGCUUUCCCGAGAUUUACCCAUUAGUGUAAAUGGCUCCGGUCACCUGCGUCUCUCUCUCUUGUGUGCGACAUCCAUUGCAUACUGGAUUCUCUCUGAAAUGUGCCUCUCCUGCGUCUUCUAGACAGAGCCCAGGCGGGCGUGCAGUAAUGGGUCCGGAAUUGGAGGGUUCUUGGUCUCACUGACUUCAAGAAUGAAGCCGUGGACUCUCGCGGUGAGUGUUAACAGCUCUUAAGGUGGCGCGUCUGGAGUCUGUCCCUUGUGAUGUUCAGAUGUGUUCGGAGUUUCUUUCUUCUGGUGGGUUCGUGGUCUCGCUGGCUCAGGAGUGAAGCUGCAGACCUUCGCGGUGAGUGUUAUAGCUCUUAAGGCAGCGCGUCCGGAGUUUUUCGUUCCUCCCAGUGGGCUCUUAGUCUUGCUGGGCUCAGGAGUGAAGCUGCAGACCUUCGUGGUGAGUGUUACAGCUCAUAAAAGCAGCGUGGACCCAAAGAGUGAGCAGUAGCAAGAUUUAUUGCAAAGAGCAAAAAAACCAAGCUUCCACAGUGUGGAAGGGAACCC